AGCGAACGCUGGCGGCAGGCCUAGCACAUGCAAGUCGAACGAACUCUUCGGAGUUAGUGGCGGACGGGUGAGUAACACGUGGGAACGUGCCUUUAGGUUCGGAAUAACUCAGGGAAACUUGUGCUAAUACCGAAUGUGCCCUUCGGGGGAAAGAUUUAUCGCCUUUAGAGCGGCCCGCGUCUGAUUAGCUAGUUGGUGAGGUAAAGGCUCACCAAGGCUACGAUCAGUAGCUGGUCUGAGAGGAUGACCAGCCACAUUGGGACUGAGACACGGCCCAAACUCCUACGGGAGGCAGCAGUGGGGAAUCUUGCGCAAUGGGCGAAAGCCUGACGCAGCCAUGCCGCGUGGAUGAUGAAGGUCUUAGGAUUGUAAAAUCCUUUCACCGGUGAAGAUAAUGACUGUAGCCGGAGAAGAAGCCCCGGCUAACUUCGUGCCAGCAGCCGCCGUAACAC
rnacentral:rRNA from 1 species